rnacentral:lncRNA from 1 species
AAUUGUUUGACAAAGUCCCGUGCCAUGUCAUCCUAGACCUACCAGCAAGAUGUGUCUUGAUCCAAAAACCAUUCAGAUGCUACUCCCGAGAGGCUCUCCACAGAAUAAGCUAUAAGCAAUUGUUCAUUUUCUCCUACACCUCUCAAUUGGUUGCAAUACCUUUUCAGGUGGGCUAUGGGGUCUCCAUGUCCAUUGUACUUUU